GAAAUGCGAUAAGUAAUGUGAAUUGCAGAAUUCAGUGAAUCAUCGAAUCUUUGAACGCACCUUGCGCUCCUUGGUAUUCCUUGGAGCAUGCCUGUUUGAGUAUCAUGAAAUCUUCAAAGUAAAUCUUUUGUUAACUCAAUUGGUUUCUACUUUGGUAUUGGAGGUCUUUGCAGCUUCACACAUGCUCCUCUUUGUUCAUUAGCUGGAUCUCAGUGUUAUGCUUGGUUCCACUCGGCGUGAUAAGUUAUCUAUCGCUGAGGACACUGUAAAAGGUGGCCAAGGUAAAUGCAGAUGAACCGCUUCUAAUAGUCCAUUGACUUGGACAAUACUUUUAUGAUCUGAUCUCAAAUCAGGUAGGACUACCCGCUGAACUUAAGC
rnacentral:misc_RNA from 1 species